rnacentral:rRNA from 1 species
GCGGGCGGGUGCUAAUACAUGCAAGUCGAACGAGUUCUGAUUAUUGAAAGGUGCUUGCAUCUUGAUUUAAUUUUGAACGAGUGGCGGACGGGUGAGUAACACGUGGGUAACCUGCCCUUAAGUGGGGGAUAACAUUUGGAAACAGAUGCUAAUACCGCAUAAAUCCAAGAACCGCAUGGUUCUUGGCUGAAAGAUGGCGUAAGCUAUCGCUUUUGGAUGGACCCGCGGCGUAUUAGCUAGUUGGUGAGGUAACGGCUCACCAAGGCAAUGAUACGUAGCCGAACUGAGAGGUUGAUCGGCCACAUUGGGACUGAGACACGGCCCAAACUCCUACGGGAGGCAGCAGUAGGGAAUCUUCCACAAUGGACGCAAGUCUGAUGGAGCAACGCCGCGUGAGUGAAGAAGGCUUUCGGGUCGUAAAACUCUGUUGUUGGAGAAGAAUGGUCGGCAGAGUAACUGUUGUCGGCGUGACGGUAUCCAACCAGAAAGCCACGGCUAACUACGUGCCAGCAGCCGCGGUAAUACGUAGGUGGCAAGCGUUAUCCGGAUUUAUUGGGCGUAAAGCGAGCGCAGGCGGUUUUUUAAGUCUGAUGUGAAAGCCCUCGGCUUAACCGAGGAAGUGCAUCGGAAACUGGGAAACUUGAGUGCAGAAGAGGACAGUGGAACUCCAUGUGUAGCGGUGAAAUGCGUAGAUAUAUGGAAGAACACCAGUGGCGAAGGCGGCUGUCUGGUCUGUAACUGACGCUGAGGCUCGAAAGCAUGGGUAGCGAACAGGAUUAGAUACCCUGGUAGUCCAUGCCGUAAACGAUGAAUGCUAGGUGUUGGAGGGUUUCCGCCCUUCAGUGCCGCAGCUAACGCAUUAAGCAUUCCGCCUGGGGAGUACGACCGCAAGGUUGAAACUCAAAGGAAUUGACGGGGGCCCGCACAAGCGGUGGAGCAUGUGGUUUAAUUCGAAGCAACGCGAAGAACCUUACCAGGUCUUGACAUCUUUUGAUCACCUGAGAGAUCAGGUUUCCCCUUCGGGGGCAAAAUGACAGGUGGUGCAUGGUUGUCGUCAGCUCGUGUCGUGAGAUGUUGGGUUAAGUCCCGCAACGAGCGCAACCCUUAUGACUAGUUGCCAGCAUUUAGUUGGGCACUCUAGUAAGACUGCCGGUGACAAACCGGAGGAAGGUGGGGAUGACGUCAAAUCAUCAUGCCCCUUAUGACCUGGGCUACACACGUGCUACAAUGGAUGGUACAACGAGUUGCGAGACCGCGAGGUCAAGCUAAUCUCUUAAAGCCAUUCUCAGUUCGGACUGUAGGCUGCAACUCGCCUACACGAAGUCGGAAUCGCUAGUAAUCGCGGAUCAGCACGCCGCGGUGAAUACGUUCCCGGGCCUUGUACACACCGCCCGUCACACCAUGAGAGUUUGUAACACCCGAAGCCGGUGGCGUAACCCUUUUAGGGAGCGAGCCGUCUAAGGUGGACAAAAUUG